CCUACGGGUGGCUGCAGUGGGGAAUAUUGGACAAUGGGCGCAAGCCUGAUCCAGCAAUGCCGCGUGGGUGAAGACGGCCUGCGGGUUGUAAAGCCCUUUAGGCGGGGAGGAACGACGGGACGCGAAUACCGUUUCGAAGUGACGUUACCCGCAGAAUAAGCACCGGCUAACUCCGUGCCAGCAGCCGCGGUAAUACGGAGGGUGCGAGCGUUAAUCGGAAUUACUGGGCGUAAAGCGUGCGUAGGCGGUGGGGUCAGUCAGCCGUGAAAGCCCUGGGCUUAACCUGGGAACGGCGGUUGAGACGGCCCGACUUGAGUGGGCUAGAGGAUCGUGGAAUUCCGGGUGUAGCGGUGAAAUGCGUAGAGAUCCGGAGGAACACCGAUGGCGAAGGCAGCGGUCUGGGGCCACACUGACGCUGAGGCACGACGGCGUGGGGAGCAAACAGGAUUAGAUACCCUGGUAGUC
rnacentral:rRNA from 1 species